rnacentral:RNase_MRP_RNA from 1 species
AUAUAUUAUAGAGACUCGCUUAUGGACAUCGUCAAACGGACUCUCAUUCAGGGAGUCGUCAUCUUGUCUGUGGAAAAGUCCCCGGAUCAUGAGGCAGAAAUGCCACUCGGCAAUCGAGUACAUGAGCAGAUCGGCUGCCUUCGUAGCAAAGAUAUGAGCUCUCGGCGGGCCCUGCGCAUCGUUCAUCAUAGCAAAGUUAUGCGAGUACCUAUUUGAUAGGUUACAGAACGGGGCUUACUCCUAUAAUAUA